UACGGAGGGUGCAAGCGUUAUCCGGAUCCACUGGGUUUAAAGGGUGCGUAGGUGGGCUGGUAAGUCAGUGGUGAAAUCUCCAGGCUUAACUUGGAAACUGCCAUUGAUACUAUCAGUCUUGAAUACCGUGGAGGUCAGCGGAAUAUGUCAUGUAGCGGUGAAAUGCUUAGAUAUGACAUAGAACACCAAUUGCGAAGGCAGCUGGCUACACGAAUAUUGACACUGAUGCACGAAAGCGUGGGGAUCAAACAGG
rnacentral:rRNA from 1 species